rnacentral:rRNA from 1 species
GAUGAACGCUGACAGAAUGCUUAACACAUGCAAGUCAACUUGAAUUUGGGUUUUUAACUUAGGUUUGGGUGGCGGACGGGUGAGUAACGCGUAAAGAACUUGCCUCACAGCUAGGGACAACAUUUGGAAACGAAUGCUAAUACCUAAUAUUAUGAUAAUAGGGCAUCCUAUAAUUAUGAAAGCUAUAAGCGCUGUGAGAGAGCUUUGCGUCCCAUUAGCUAGUUGGAGAGGUAACGGCUCACCAAGGCGAUGAUGGGUAGCCGGCCUGAGAGGGUGAUCGGCCACAAGGGGACUGAGACACGGCCAUUACUCCUACGGGAGGCAGCAGUGGGGAAUAUUGGACAAUGGACCGAGAGUCUGAUCCAGCAAUUCUGUGUGCACGAUGAAGUUUUUCGGAAUGUAAAGUGCUUUCAGUUGGGAAGAAACAAAUGACGGUACCAACAGAAGAAGUGACGGCUAAAUACGUG